AUUGAACGCUAGCGGGAUGCCUUACACAUGCAAGUCGAACGGAGUGGCGAACGGGUGAGUAAUGUAUCGGAACGUGCCCAGUAGCGUGGGAUAACUUCGCGAAAGCGUCGCUAAUACCGCAUACUCUUGCAGCGGCUGAUAUCGUAUUAGCUAGUUGGUGGGGUACGGGCUCACCAAGGCGACGAUCCUGAUCUGGUUUGAGAGUACGACCAUCCACCCUGGGACUGAGACAAUGCCCAGACUACUGCGGGAUGCAGCAGUGGGGAAUAUUGGACAAUGGGGUAAACCCUGAUGCAGCCAUCCCGCGUGUGGGAUGAAGGCCUUCGGGUUUUAAGGCACUUUUUGCAGGAAAGCGGUACCUGCAGAAUAAGCACCGGCUGAUUACUUGCCAGCAGCCGCGGUAAUUC
rnacentral:rRNA from 1 species